rnacentral:rRNA from 1 species
UGCCUAACACAUGCAAGUCGAACGCGAAAGGGGGCAACCCCCGGUAGCGUGGCAGACGGGUGAGUAACACGUGGGUAACCUACCCGGAGGUGGGGGAUAACCCUUCGAAAGGAGGGCUAAUACCGCAUGACACCGUGGGGACCUCGGUCCUUGCGAUCAAAGCUGGCCUCUGUUUACAAGCUAGCGCCACCGGAUGGGCCCGCGCCCCAUUAGCUAGUUGGUGAGGUAACGGCUCACCAAGGCGACGAUGGGUAGCCGGCCUGAGAGGGCGAUCGGCCACACUGGAACUGCGACACGGUCCAGACUCCUACGGGAGGCAGCAGUGAGGAAUCUUGCGCAAUGGGCGAAAGCCUGACGCAGCGCCGCCGCGUGGAGGAUGAAGGUCUUCGGAUUGUAAACUCC